UACGUAGGGCGCAAGCGUUAUCCGGAAUUACUGGGCGUAAAGGGCUCGUAGGUGGCCAACUAAGUCAGACGUGAAAUCCCUCGGCUUAACCGGGGAACUGCGUCUGAUACUGGAUGGCUUGAGUUUGGGAGAGGAAUGCGGAAUUCCAGGUGUAGCGGUGAAAUGCGUAGAUAUCAGGAGGAACACCGAUGGCGAAGGCAGGUCUCUGGGCCAUAACUGACGCUGAGAAGCGAAAGCAUGGGGAGCGAACAGG
rnacentral:rRNA from 1 species